rnacentral:rRNA from 1 species
GACAGAGGAUGCAAGCGUUAUCCGGAAUGAUUGGGCGUAAAGCGUCUGUAGGUGGCUUUUCAAGUCCGCCGUCAAAUCCCAGGGCUCAACCCUGGACAGGCGGUGGAAACUACCAAGCUGGAGUACGGUAGGGGCAGAGGGAAUUUCCGGUGGAGCGGUGAAAUGCGCAGAUAUCAGGAGGAACACCGGUGGCGAAGGCGGGUCUCUGGGCCGUAACUGACGCUGAGGAGCGAAAGCAUGGGGAGCGAACAGG